rnacentral:rRNA from 1 species
UGGGGAAUUUUGGACAAUGGGGGCAACCCUGAUCCAGCCAUGCCGCGUGAGUGAAGAAGGCCUUCGGGUUGUAAAGCUCUUUCGGCGGGGACGAAACGGUCCGUGACAACACCACGGACUAAUGACAGUACUCGCAGAAGAAGCACCGGCUAACUACGUGCCAGCAGCCGCGGUAAUACGUAGGGUGCAGGCGUUAAUCGGAAUUACUGGGCGUAAAGCGUGCGCAGGCGGCUCCUUAAGUCAGAUGUGAAAUCCCCGGGCUUAACCUGGGAACUGCGUUUGAAACUGAGGGGCUAGAGUGUGGAAGAGGGGGGUGGAAUUCCAGGUAUAGCAGUGAAAUGCGUAGAGAUCUGGAGGAACACCGAUGGCGAAGGCAGCCCCCUGGGCUAACACUGACGCUCAUGCACGAAAGCGUGGGGAGCAAACAGGAUUAGAUACCCCCGUAGUCCCUGAGCGGGCUGGCAAGGCGCAU